rnacentral:rRNA from 1 species
AUUGAACGCUGGCGGCAGGCCUAACACAUGCAAGUCGAGCGGAUGAAGGGAGCUUGCUCCUGGAUUCAGCGGCGGACGGGUGAGUAAUGCCUAGGAAUCUGCCUGGUAGUGGGGGAUAACGUCCGGAAACGGGCGCUAAUACCGCAUACGUCCUGAGGGAGAAAGUGGGGGAUCUUCGGACCUCACGCUAUCAGAUGAGCCUAGGUCGGAUUAGCUAGUUGGUGGGGUAAAGGCCUACCAAGGCGACGAUCCGUAACUGGUCUGAGAGGAUGAUCAGUCACACUGGAACUGAGACACGGUCCAGACUCCUAAGGGAGGCAGCAGUGGGGAAUAUUGGACAAUGGGCGAAAGCCUGAUCCAGCCAUGCCGCGUGUGUGAAGAAGGUCUUCGGAUUGUAAAGCCCUUUUAGUUGGGAGGAAGGGCAGUAAGUUAAUACCUUGCUGUUUUGACGUUACCAACAGAAUAAGCACCGGCUAACUUCGUG